GAUGAACGCUGGCGGCGUGCUUAACACAUGCAAGUCGAACGGAAAGGCUCCUGCUUGCAGGGGUACUCGAGUGGCGAACGGGUGAGUAACACGUGGGUGAUCUGCCCUGCACUUCGGGAUAAGCCGGGGAAACUGGGUCUAAUACCGGAUAGGACGAUGGUUUGGAUGCCAUUGUGGAAAGUUUUUUCGGUGUGGGAUGAGCUCGCGGCCUAUCAGCUUGUUGGUGGGGUAAUGGCCUACCAAGGCGUCGACGGGUAGCCGGCCUGAGAGGGUGUACGGCCACAUUGGGACUGAGAUACGGCCCAGACUCCUACGGGAGGCAGCAGUGGGGAAUAUUGCACAAUGGGCGCAAGCCUGAUGCAGCGACGCCGCGUGGGGGAUGACGGCCUUCGGGUUGUAAACUCCUUUCGCUAGGGACGAAGCGCAAGUGACGGUACCUGGAGAAGAAGCACCGGCUAACUACGUG
rnacentral:rRNA from 1 species